rnacentral:rRNA from 1 species
GUGGAUUAGAUACCCCAGUAGUCCACGCCCUAAACGAUGUCAACUAGGUGUUGGGGAAGGAGACUUCUUUAGUACCGCAGCUAACGCGUGAAGUUGACCGCCUGGGGAGUACGGUCGCAAGAUUAAAACUCAAAGGAAUUGACGGGGACCCGCACAAGCGGUGGAUUAUGUGGAUUAAUUCGAUGCAACGCGAAAAACCUUACCUACCCUUGACAUGUCAGGAAGUUUCCAGAGAUGGAUUCGUGCCCGAAAGGGAACCUGAACACAGGUGCUGCACGGUCGUCGCCAGCU